rnacentral:lncRNA from 1 species
AAAGAAUUUUUGUAUGGUCUACAACUUUUAUUUGAACAAUUUUCUCUAAUAUGUAUAAAAAACGAUUUAUAUGCAAAAAACAUUUUUUUCACUUGAAGAUUGUCUAAAAAAAUCAAAGCAAAGUCAGUUGUAGGUACGUCUUUACCGAUCAGCUAGUCCCUAUAUAUCUUUUAAACCCUUCAAAACAUCUGUAUUUAUAAGAUUUUUUCAGGUUUUUUUCUUCCUUGACUGAGUACAUGGUUUACGUAGAUUAAGUAUUUAUCUACUGUCUUCUAGGAAAAUUAAUGUUAUAGCAAAAUGAUUGUAAUAUAUGUAUGUUUGUGUUCGUAUUUCAAAUGAGAUAUGUCGUUGAUAUUUAUGUGUCUACUGUGAUUUUAGUAUUUUAUACUUUAAAUUUUUUGCACGUAUUUUUUUGCACGCUGAUCAUGAAUCCGUUGUCUAAAUAAGUGUAUCUAUCUAUCGUCGUUUGAGAGUUAUACCUACAGUUUUUAUUAAUUUUCUCAAGGCCAGAACUUCAAUUUACCGUACACUUCUCGUAGGCUCUGCCGAUAAGGUAGAGUCGUGUUGAGAAAAUAUGGCGUGCCCCAACUGCGAGUUGCGAGUUCCGAACCAGUCCAACCGAUCCUUGGGAUCUGAAGAGAACUCGGAGUCCGAAUAUGCGCAGUAGGAUUUCAAAAUACUUAGAAACAUUUUUAUAUGUUCUGUGCUUUAAACAGCUGAUUUGUAGCGGUGUUUGCUUUUCGUUCUUUGUUUAUUUGAUUUCUUUUUAAUACUGUGGUUUAACUCAAAACUUUAGAAAUUUAUUGAUUUUUAAUAAAAUCCUUUUUACAUACUUUGAUGUAUAAUUUUUACAGUAAUAUAGAAGGUACUAAAUA